GGCGUAAAGAGCUCGUAGGUGGUUUGUCGCGUUGUUCGUGAAAUCUCACGGCUUAACUGUGAGCGUGCGGGCGAUACGGGCAGACUUGAGUACUGCAGGGGAGACUGGAAUUCCUGGUGUAGCGGUGGAAUGCGCAGAUAUCAGGAGGAACACCGGUGGCGAAGGCGGGUCUCUGGGCAGUAACUGACGCUGAGGAGCGAAAGCGUGGGGAGCGAACAGGAUUAGAUACCCUGGUAGUCCACGCCGUAAACGGUGGGUACUAGGUGUGGGUUUCCUUCCUUGGGAUCCGUGCCGUAGCUAACGCAUUAAGUACCCCGCCUGGGGAGUACGGCCGCAAGGCUAGAACUCAAAGAAAUUGACGGGGGCCCGCACAAGCGGCGGAGCAUGUGGAUUAAUUCGAUGCAACGCGAAGAACCUUACCUGGGUUUGACAUGCACAGGACGCCGGCAGAGAUGUCGGUUCCCUUGUGGCCUGUGUGCAGGUGGUGCAUGGCUGUCGUCAGCUCGUGUCGUGAGAUGUUGGGUUAAGUCCCGCAACGAGCGCAACCCUUGUCUCAUGUUGCCAGCGGGUAAUGCCGGGGACUCGUGAGAGACUGCCGGGGUCAACUCGGAGGAAGGUGGGGAUGACGUCAAGUCAUCAUGCCCCUUAUGUCCAGGGCUUCACACAUGCUACAAUGGCCGGUACAAAGGGCUGCGAUGCCGCGAGGUUAAGCGAAUCCUUUUAAAGCCGGUCUCAGUUCGGAUCGGGGUCUGCAACUCGACCCCGUGAAGUCGGAGUCGCUAGUAAUCGCAG
rnacentral:rRNA from 1 species